rnacentral:rRNA from 1 species
UACGUAGGGUGCAAGCGUUAAUCGGAAUUACUGGGCGUAAAGCGUGCGCAGGCGGUUAUGUAAGACAGGUGUGAAAUCCCCGGGCUUAACCUGGGAAUGGCAUUUGUGACUGCAUGGCUAGAGUGUGUCAGAGGGGGGUAGAAUUCCACGUGUAGCAGUGAAAUGCGUAGAGAUGUGGAGGAACACCGAUGGCGAAGGCAGCCCCCUGGGUCAAGAUUGACGCUCAUGCACGAAAGCGUGGGGAGCAAACAGG